GGCAACGAGGAUGAUCCAGGGACUGGAGACAAAGCCCUCUGUGGAGAGACGGAAAGCACUGGGCCUGCUUAGCCUCGAGAAGAGCAG